rnacentral:misc_RNA from 1 species
UACGGAGGAUCCAAGCGUUAUCCGGAAUCAUUGGGCUUAAAGGGUCCGUAGGCGGGUCGAUAAGUCAGUGGUGAAAGUCUGCAGCUCAACUGUAGAACUGCCAUUGAUACUGUAGGUCUUGAGUCAUUAUGAAGUGGUUAGAAUGAGUAGUGUAGCGGUGAAAUGCAUAGAUAUUACAUAGAAUGCCGAUUGCGAAGGCAGAUCACUAAUAAUUUACUGACGCUGAUGGACGAAAGCGUAGGUAGCGAACAGG